GCGCUCUUAGUUCAGUUCGGUAGAACGUGGGUCUCCAAAACCCGAUGUCGUAGGAGAUGUCGUAGGUUCAAAUCCUACAGGGCGUG
rnacentral:tRNA from 1 species